rnacentral:rRNA from 1 species
CGGACGGGUUAGUAACGCGUGGGAACAUACCCUUUUCUACGGAAUAGCCUCGGGAAACUGAGAGUAAUACCGUAUAAGCCCUUCGGGGGAAAGAUUUAUCGGGAAAGGAUUGGCCCGCGUUAGAUUAGAUAGUUGGUGGGGUAAUGGCCUACCAAGUCUACGAUCUAUAGCUGGUUUUAGAGGAUGAUCAGCAACACUGGGACUGAGACACGGCCCAGACUCCUACGGGAGGCAGCAGUGGGGAAUCUUAGACAAUGGGCGAAAGCCUGAUCUAGCCAUGCCGCGUGAGUGAUGAAGGUCUUAGGAUCGUAAAGCUCUUUCGCUAGGGAUGAUAAUGACAGUACCUAGUAAAGAAGCCCCGGCUAACUCCGUGCCAGCAGCCGCGGUAAUACGGAGGGGGCUAGCGUUGUUCGGAAUUACUGGGCGUAAAGCGUACGUAGGCGGAUCAGAAAGUAUGGGGUGAAAUCCCAGGGCUCAACCCUGGAACUGCCUCAUAAACUCCUGGUCUUGAGUUCGAGAGAGGUGAGUGGAAUUGCGAGUGUAGAGGUGAAAUUCGU